rnacentral:lncRNA from 1 species
GCCUGGGGCCGGCCGCGCUCUCGGGCUCGCAGGCGCUGGGUCUCGGCUCCGGCUCCGGCUCCGCGCCGCUGGCUCUGCGUCGCUCGCACUCCAGCCGGGGGCACCCUCAUCCCAGGCUGACUGACGUCCCUGGCACCCAAAUGUCGCGGGGAGUGCGGGGCCAGGGUGCGCCCUCCCUCCUCCUCCAGCCAGUGAAACCCGGGACAGCGGCACCCAGCCCCAGGGCGGAGGCCGUCUCUGCUGCGCGCAGCGACGCACCCAGGCCCAAGGGCCGGGAGAUCCGCGGGGAACCCGGAGACCUGCGUCCCAGAGGGGCCGAGGGUUGCACCGCGCCCGCUCCCACGGGCCUCUUCCGAGAGGACGCUUCUCCCUCGUGUCCGCGGGAAGUCCUCGGAUCCUGGAUGAGAAAGAGCCUUCUCUCACCGGCUCCCAGACCCCGCGCUUUUUAAUACCUGUCCUUGCAGAGCGACUGGUCAUUUUAGGCCCGAGUCGAGCCUCUCUUGAUUAAUAAAUGAAUAUGGCUCGUUUUGUUU